AAACUAAAUAUUAAUCGCUCAUAUAAUAGCAAGAAUAAGGCUUGCGAGUUUCUACCAGUUCACCGUAAAUGAAUUGACUAUGAGAAGCAAAUAUAA
rnacentral:ncRNA from 1 species